rnacentral:lncRNA from 1 species
AUCAAGUUUUUGGCGCCGCUGCCGGGGAUUGUGAUUGAUUCGACAAGGCAAUAGUGUUCAUAUUUUCUGUGUUUUCCUUAUUUUUCUGUUUUAUAUUUUUCUACCGGAGCGUUCUACUUAUGUGUUUCCUUGUGCAUGCGGAGGACAAGUCCCAUUGAGCUGCAGUUCGAUCCGGAAAUUGAAAAGACAGCUCGCGCAAUUCGGAAGGCAACAAGGGAAGCUCAAGCUUCAAGAGAAAAAGCUUUGCUAGGUGG